rnacentral:rRNA from 1 species
AACGCGAAGAACCUUACCUACCCUUGACAUGGCAGGAAUCCUGAAGAGAUUUAGGAGUGCUCGCAAGAGAACCUGCACACAGGUGCUGCAUGGCUGUCGUCAGCUCGUGUCGUGAGAUGUUGGGUUAAGUCCCGCAACGAGCGCAACCCUUGUCAUUAGUUGCUACGAAAGGGCACUCUAAUGAGACUGCCGGUGACAAACCGGAGGAAGGUGGGGAUGACGUCAAGUCCUCAUGGCCCUUAUGGGUAGGGCUUCACACGUCAUACAAUGGUACAUACAGAGGGCUGCCAACCCGCGAGGGGGAGCUAAUCCCAGAAAGUGUAUCGUAGUCCGGAUUGUAGUCUGCAACUCGACUACAUGAAGUUGGAAUCGCUAGUAAUCGCGGAUCAGCAUGUCGCGGUGAAUACGUUCCCGGGUCUUGUACACACGC